AUUGAACGCUGGCGGCAUGCUUUACACAUGCAAGUCGAACGGCAGCGCGGGCUUCGGCCUGGCGGCGAGUGGCGAACGGGUGAGUAAUGCAUCGGAACGUGCCCAGCAGUGGGGGAUAGCCCGGCGAAAGCCGGAUUAAUACCGCAUACGACCUGAGGGUGAAAGCGGGGGACCGAAAGGCCUCGCGCUAUUGGAGCGGCCGAUGUCGGAUUAGCUAGUUGGUGGGGUAAAGGCUUACCAAGGCGACGAUCCGUAGCUGGUCUGAGAGGACGAGCAGCCACACUGGGACUGGGACACGGCCCAGACUCCUACGGGAGGCAGCAGUGGGGAAUUUUGGACAAUGGGGGCAAACCUGAUCCAGCCAUGCCGCGUGCGGGAAGAAGGCCUUCGGGUUGUAAACCGCUUUUGUUCGGGAAGAAAUCCUCUGGGCUAAUACCCCGGGGGGAUGACGGUACCGGAAGAAUAAGCACCGGCUAACUACGUG
rnacentral:rRNA from 1 species